UACGUAGGGUGCAAGCGUUGUCCGGAAUUAUUGGGCGUAAAGAGCUCGUAGGCGGUUUGUCGCGUCUGCUGUGAAAAACCCGAGGCUCAACCUCGGGCCUGCAGUGGGGUACGGGCAGACUAGAGUGCGGGUAGGGGAGAUUGGAAUUCCUGGUGUAGCGGUGGAAUGCGCAGAUAUCAGGGAGGAACACCAAUGGCGAAGGCAGAUCUCUGGGCCGUAACUGACGCUGAGGAGCGAAAGCAUGGGGAGCGAACAGG
rnacentral:rRNA from 1 species